rnacentral:siRNA from 1 species
CUUAGAAUAUAUCUCAGCCACUGC